UACACAGUGUUGAUGCUGUUUUAACAUUAUCUGGUAAUAAAAUAACACUGCCAUUGCUAGGCCAGUGUUAUAUUCACGACAGUGUCAGUGUUAAACAAGGGUGUUAUCAGAUUUCACUCUGAGCGGUGUAAAUCAAGCCACGCCUCCACUAAACAUAUCCUGUCAGGGAUUUUACCGCCAUUUUCUUUCACAGGAGGACUGAAGAGAUCAGAUGCUAGUUUGGUGAAAGUUCACACUGAGUGCUUCAAAUCAUUCAGAAGAGAUGCUGUUUUUAGGGCAGUUUGUUAAAGAAGACCUGACAUGGAUGACUUCCAAUGAGAAACGACUGCUAAUACUUAUAUAAAUUCAUUACAGAAGGACCCUACCAGACUAUAUUUGAAUACGGCAUACCCAUGAAUUCUGGAACUGUUAUUCCUUAACCCAGUUUGGAGGAUAAGAGCUUACCAACUAGUUAUAAAUAUGCUGAGGUGAUGUAUUGCAAAAUAGCCAAUAUACAACAAUAUGGAUGACCCUCUGUCUGGUCAACAGGAGUUUAAAUAUGGACGGGACAGUGAUGUGGCAGCUCUUCCCUGGCUCAUUCACCUCUUGCCUUUCAUUUGUGAAAGGAAGAAAGACUGGAGAGGGUCAAUGUGCAACUGAAGCUACUGAUUGUGCUAUGUGAUGAGCAUCAAUCCAUGCUUUGAGGGGGAUGGAUCAGCACACCCCUGCCUGCUCUGCGUUGGGAACAGAAGUUGCAUCCAGAAUUUUUGCAUCAUUCUGGACCAAAAAGCCAUUCCCUCCAUGAUGAAGACCACUGAUGCAGCCUUCCACUACAUCAUGAGUAAAACAACUACAGAACUAAAUACCAGGUUGGAACGUAUUUAAGAAAAAUGAAACGGCUUUUGAAUUGAAAUGUCUGUUUUGUUAUGGAAAAAUCUUUAGUAUUGUGAAGGAUAAGCAUUUCUGCCUGCCAGUAAGGUAAUUGCAGUGUAUUUUAAUGUUCAAGUUUUGAGUAGGGUGGCUAAUUUUUUUAACUCUCAUUUGAUUUAUUAAAGACCUUAUAAUAAGUGGUUUUCAUGUCACUGCGCUGUGGUAUAAGAUAACUUUCAUUAUUCCAUACUGUAUUCUAAUUGUAGCUGAGGUAUUUAAAUAAGCAGUAUUAAAUGCAAAGUGUUGUGUGUAUCAAUGUAAAUAUUAAAUGUGAUGUACUUUAAUAAAAAGAGGUUUUGCAAUAUUUCUUGUCAUUUGUCUUUUAUAGAAACAACCCAUUAGCAACAAAAGUGGCUAUUAAUCAGUAUUUUAACACUUAACAUUGUUGAAUUCACAUUACACUGGUGUUGACCUUAAAUUAGGAGUGUUAAUUUUUGACACUGUAUUUCUGUGCCAACACCAGUGUAGUGUGGAAACAACAAUGAAUAGUGUUGAACAAAGUGUAAAAUUUAACAAUAUUGAGUGUUAAAUUAACAUAUAAUGAGUGUUGUUAAAUUAACACUACACUUUUGACUAAAUUAACACAGUGUAGUGUGGACACAUAUACACACUUUUCCAGUGUUAAAUUUGAC